GUUCUCUAUGGGACUUGAACCACUUCAAGAACCGCCCCUCAUAUGGGAAUCUUAUCCACUUUGAUUUACUCUGUUCUCGACGAAGCCUCGGCGUUGGCCUCUCUUCACGUGACGUUGACGGUUACAUUUCCGUUUGCGGUUACGGCUCCCUCCUCUCCGAGAAAAGUGCCAGAUCAACUUUUCCAAACCUAAUUAACUUCCGAACCGCCAGAUUAACCGGUUUCCGCCGUCUCUUCUCCGUUGUAGGACCCGUCUUCUUCUCUCACGGCGUCGCCAACCUCAAAACUCACGAAAUUGUUGCCCUCUCUGUUGAACCUUGUGAAGAUGAAACAAUUAUAAUUACUGUUUUUGAUCUUAACAAAACCGAGAUUCCAGCAUUUAUUCAAAGAGAGCGUGAAUAUAGCUUUUUAUCUGUUUUUCCUCAAUCUCUAGAUGGGAAGCCCUUUACCAAUCCAGCAGUUCUUUGUGCAUCUUACACUGAUGAUGAAUUCUUUAAAUAUAAAUGCUCUGAAGAAAGGGAAAUAUACUUUCAACAAUAUGGAGAGUAUAAUAUCCAUAAGAUUUGGCGGGAUGACGCAUUACCGUGCCGUGUUUAUCUUCGACACUGUGUCCUAGCUGCAAAAAGCCUCGGCGAUGAGGCUUACAAUAACUUCUUGGACCAUACCUUCAUUGCUGAUCGAGAAACAACAAUACGCCAGUACUUUGAGAAAAUGGGCACAAGCAUCAUGGAAGAAGAGCCUCCCGAAUCAUUAAAAACACGUUACGGCGGUUGA